GGAGGGUUUAAAACAUUGAUAUCUGGUGAGAUAUUGUUAAACUUCAGACAGAUCAUAAGGAACAAACACAAUGAUGCUCCAAUCUGUCAUUCUGCUUUCUGCUUUUGCAUAUGCAACACAUGGAAAUGAAAUUAAACCAACCAAAACAGAGGAGUUCACUGUCGAGGGUUCAAGUGUUAAAUUAUCCUGCAGUUAUUCGUCUGCAUUUACUCUUCAAUGGUACCGUCAGUAUCCCGGAUCAGCUCCUGAAUUCCUUGUGCUCAUCUCAGACAGUGCAAAAGACGCUAAGGAGUCUGAUGUAGAUUCCAGAUUCACUGCCAAAGUCACUAAAGUCAAAGAAAACUCUGUGUAUCUGGAGAUCUCCUCUGCUGCAGUAUCAGACUCUGCUCUGUAUUACUGUGCUCUGAGGCGUGUGAUAGCUGAGGACCUGAUUUGGCCAAAUAUGGGUUCAAAUCUCAUCAUUAGAGAAGGAGAGUCUGUGACACUGAGAUGCUCAUGUGACACAAGCAGCAGUUAUGUCAGACUUUACUGGUACAGGCAGUAUCCAAACAGAGAACUUCAGUAUUUAAUGUUUCAGGUGUCGAUAUCCCGAUCAACCAAUAACCUCAUUAAUGAUGAUGUAACUCUGUCAGAUUCAGCUCUCUAUUAUUGUGAUCUAAGAGUUGGAGCCCAGUGA